AGUUGCAUGUAAAACACCUUAAUUGGGGAGCUAUUGUAGCCAGCUCUGUGCUGGUCAGUGAUGUGUUCACAAGUUUGAGCCUUGUAAGAGCAUUCAUUUCCCACUUGACAAGACAACUAUUUGCAGGAGUGAGUGUGAGUGUGUUUAGGAGUAAAGGAGAUGGAGGGAACAUGGCCGCAAAUCAGGAGACCUUUAAUCUGGUCCUUAUUGCACCAUAUCUUAAUGUUGUAGAUUUGGGAAAAUUACGUCAUGUCUCACAGUUGAAAUGAAGGCACCAUGAUCUUUCAGGUCUUUCAACACUAGAAAAUGUGAUUCUGUGGAUGCCUCAAGGAGCAGCAGCUCCGGGUAUCUGAUGAUAUGACAGAAUGACAGCUGUUGACCGGAGAGCUUAAUCUGUACCUAUUUACAGGUAGAGAUGUCUGUAAUAAGUUAAAGGAAAUUGAAAGUUAGUUAAUAAUUUAAUCUGAGUAAAAAGAGUUUUUUCAAGUGUGUCUCCUGAUGCUGCCCCCAAGUUUAGUGUCAUCUCCAGAACACACACAGGCAAGGGGCUUGCAGGGGCCACCUAUGUGCAAUGGAGAGUCCGAAGUUGCUUUUGUAUAGCACUUACCCUAUCAAUGUGUUAAGGUCAACUGUGUAAUCAAAGUAUGCAGGGGGCUGAGAUGAUCGAUCAAGGACUCAAAGUCAGCUGUUGACAGAACAACUCUGUUUUACCAUAAUUAAUAUUUUAUGUCGAGUGUUCAAUCCCUCAUUCUUGGCUCCCAUUAUGAUUUCCUCCUUUGUUUAAGGCUAUGGCCCUUUAGUAUUCCACUUCUCUUGUUUUAUCGUAAGGGAAGAUAUUAGAAGACUUUGCUGGCCGGGCGCGGUGGCUCCCGCCUGUAAUCUCAGCACUUUAGGAGGCCAAGGUGGGCGGAUCACUUGAGGUCAGGAGUACCAGACCAGCCUGGCCGACACGGUGAAAUCCCAUCUCUACUAAAAAAAUACAAAAAUCAGCUGGGCUUGGUGGUGCAUGCCUGUAAUCCCAGCUACUCGUGAGGCUGAGGCAUGAGAAUUGCUUGAACCUGGGAGGUGGAGGUUGCAGUGAGUCAGGAGCACACCACUGCACUCCAGUCUAGUCGACAGAGUGAGACUCAGUUUCAAAAACAAACAAAAAGGCUUUGCUAACUAGUACGUUACAGAAUGUUCAGGAAACAGAACCCUAGGGAAAAUCUAUGAAUUACAUCAGUUGAUGUAAUCAUCUAAUUUUAAACAUAUAAUUCUACAUUUAGAUAAUUAUUAUGCUUUACAUUUAUAUAAAUGUAGCAUCUAAGAUUCAGAAUGGACUUCAAAGUAUAACUAUGCAAAUAAAGUUCUGCAUUAAUUCACACCCUACCACAGUUCUGACAGGCACUCCUUCCUUAUGUGCCUUAGUGUUUCUAGGAAUGAGAUACUCACCAUGCUGCAAUAAAAAUGACUAAAAUUUCUUGAGCAAUUUUUGAGCAUUUUGCUUUGUACUCAGAAUUGUAUGAAGAGCUUUCCAUACAUC
rnacentral:lncRNA from 10 species